rnacentral:lncRNA from 1 species
CUGAUAGCUUGUCAUAGAUGCUGAGCUCGUUGGCUGAAAGCUCCAUGGCCUCUGAUAAAAAAUCCCCCGCUCCGUCGCCCGGCUCCGGGCUCCUCCCGCCCGCGGUGGAGGCGGGCCCGGCCGCCGCUUCCUGCUUCCGGCGGAGGGGAGGGAGGAGGGCCGUUGCGUUCUCUCGGUGCCCCGCAGCCCCCAACGCCUCCCAGGCAACCGUCCCAGAACAGCCGCGGUUUCUCCCGGCAGCAGCGCUGUCCCCGCAGCCCCGGGCCGCCUGCUGCCCUCCGAAGGCACGGUCGUCCUGCGGUCUCUGUUCUUCUCCAGCUGCUUUUCUGGCUGCCGCUGCAGUUUCGGACCAUAACAAGGGCUCCGUCCAUCACCAGCAGCAUCCCCUUUUCUUCUGAAGCAGCUUUGGUCGCUCUUCUGCUUUAUUCCUCAAUUGAUCUUCACCUCGCCCC